GAAAAAUGAGAAGAAUGAGAAGAAUGAAAAGAGUAAGAGGAAAGAAAAUGAGAAAUAUGCUAAGCAAGAGAAAAACAGUCAGAGUGAUGCAUUAUAAGAGGAAGUUAUAGAAGAAAGUGAAAGAAAUGAGUGUGAAAAGAACAAGAGUGUAAGAAAAAGUAAAGAGGAGGUUGACGAGAAAAAGAAGAAGUACAUUCCUCUUGAACCUUAC
rnacentral:misc_RNA from 1 species